CAAGGUGAUUGACAGCUGUGUUCACCUAUUGGAGAGUAGGGCUCUCUAUUUAAAGGCUGAUUGGCUGAAGCCGUGUAUGUGUCACGUCUGAUUUCCCUCCCCUUGUGUCUGUUGACGGUCGUUACAGUGUGUGUUGGCUCCGAUGCUGGUGCCUGUUAGCACUGUUCCAUGGAUUUUAAAAGUGCUAGUCUCUCCGGUUGACUCCCUGUAUGCCAGGGCACUGGUGGCUGCCAUGACAGCUGUAUGCCAGUGUCCGUAAGGUGUCAUGCCUGGCGUAAGAAGCGGAUUCUCCCUCUCGUUCCGGGCUGUGAUUACCUCUUCGCGCUGUUUUUAGCGCUGCUAUUCAGCUUGCAGUGCGCACGUGUUGACAUCAUUAAAGGGUGCUGCUGGUGUCCGGUCAACCUUUGAAUAUCGCACCAUAUAGUGCUCAAAUCCAUAUGUGUUGGGGACAUGAACGUUUUUGGUUUAAAGAUUAAAUGAUGCUCUGAAUGAGCUCUGUGAUUCCCCUAUCCAACCUCUUUAAUUAUUUUGUUUCUUUUGUUUAUUUUUUUUGUAUUUAUACUUUGUUUGCUGCACGUGACUCCUCAUCGUUGUAACGUGCCCAGGUGUAUGUGUGGCCUAUUGAACCUAGUAACACACUGUGACAGAGGGGAGUGGUAUGUGAAAUUAACCCUCCUAAUGUUUUAUUGUCUCUGUUUGUGUAUUGUAUUAAUGGUCACUAUAGAGGAGUUGUGAGAAGUAGUUAAACCAUCUAUAAAAAGUGUUUAUAAUUUAUGUUCUGUUAAGCGUCUUUAACCUUUAUUUUUGGUUUAUCGCAGGAGCUGGGGUCCCACGGGUGACAGGAAUUUCUACGGUGGUGGUGCUUCUCAUCGUGUGCUGUGUAACAUCUUGUGUGUUUCGUAGUGUGAUUUGAGUGCACUUUGGUGUGUGUGGUUGUGUGGAAGUGUGCUCUGCUCAAACUGAAUUCUGUCCUCUGCCGUUGGGAGCCUCAGCCCUGCUGUGUUUGGAAACCAGGCACCAGAAAUCUCCCCUUAUGGUGGGUCUGCACGUCGAGGCGAGAGCUGGGGUCCCACGGGUGACAGGAAUUUCUACGGUGGUGGUGCUUCUCAUCGUGUGCUGUGUAACAUCUUGUGUGUUUCGUAGUGUGAUUUGAGUGCACUUUGGUGUGUGUGGUUGUGUGGAAGUGUGCUCUGCUCAAACUGAAUUCUGUCCUCUGCCGUUGGGAGCCUCAGCCCUGCUGGUAACAUUCUCUUUUCUUUAUUUGUUUUGAUUUAACCUUUUGUUAUAAUUAAAAUUGUGUCUUUUCCUUUUAAGGGGAAAGAAUGAGUACUUGGUGUGUCUUUUUAAUCUAGUGUUUUUAAAUAUUUGUAUCAAUAAAAUUAUGUAACAUUUUGCAUUAUA